ACACCUCUAAAGAAUUCAUAAGCUUCCAGUAUACUGGUGAGAUAACCAUGAAAAACAGUACAAAAACUGAGAUCGUAAGUCUAAGUAAGUAGUCGGUUAGUAUGCAUCAUUAAGAAAACGUGUUAAACAUUGGCAUAUUAUAUCAACGAACGUUGAAUUUAACUACAUGCAAAGGUAUAACAUUAUCAACCCUAAAAAUUGCAGAUACGUCUUUUGGAUAAGAUCCCUUACAUAGUAGUCCGCUUAAAAUUUAUGUAAAACUUACUAUAGGUAAAAGCUCCAUGUUCUUGCUAGCAUGGUCUUUUCCAAAAGGGUAUCUUAUGCUGUCUAAUAUUGCUCGAAAAUGUGAAAUGCUCCUGGUCGUAACGUAAAACCCUUUUUCAGUCAACAAAUAAUUCCGAAACUCAGCCGUAGUAAUAUAAAUGGAACGAGCAACGUCUUUAGCAUCGCCAUCGGAUUCCUGAAUUAGACAUUGUAUGUUUCUAGCAUGAGAUAACAAAGCGACCGUUCUAACUGUUAGCCAUAAAA